rnacentral:rRNA from 1 species
UACGUAGGGGGCGAGCGUUAUCCGGAUUUACUGGGCGUAAAGCGCGUUAAGGCGGUUGGCAAAGUUGGUUGUGAAAUCUCAGGGCUCAACCCUGAAAUUGCGACCAAUACUGGUCGACUAGAGUGCAAGAGAGGAAGGUGGAAUUCCCGGUGUAGUAGUGAAAUGCGUAGAUAUCGGGAGGAACACCUGUGGCGAAGGCGGCCUUCUGGCUUGUAACUGACGCUGUAGCGCGAAAGCGUGGGGAGCGAACCGG